rnacentral:other from 2 species
AAUUACCUGGGGCGUUUGUGGACUUGUAUGAUGCUAACCUCACAAGUAAAAAAAUGGAAUUACUAUUAUGUUAACAGGUGUGUUUACUCCAUGUGAGUAUACCUAAACGUUAGCUAAUAGUUCCCACCUGGUUUUAUUCAGGUUCUGAAUCUGCAUGUAUACGGCGUCCUUGGGUACUAU